UAUGCCCUACGGGAGGCAGCAGUGGGGAAUAUUGCACAAUGGGGGAAACCCUGAUGCAGCGACGCCGCGUGAAGGAAGAAGUAUUUCGGUAUGUAAACUUCUAUCAGCAGGGAAGAAAAUGACGGUACCUGACUAAGAAGCCCCGGCUAACUACGUGCCAGCAGCCGCGGUAAUACGUAGGGGGCAAGCGUUAUCCGGAUUUACUGGGUGUAAAGGGAGCGUAGGCGGGUCAGCAAGUCAGAAGGGAAAGCCCGGGG
rnacentral:rRNA from 1 species